AGGGGCAGGGUCUUUCUAUGUUGCCCAUGCUGGUUGUGAACUCCUGACCUCAAGGGAUCCUCUUACCUCUGUCUCCAAAAACAUUGGGGUUACAAUGCAGCAGUAGGACAAAGAACAUGGCUGCCGCUUCAAAUCUUGUGUGAAUUCACCUCAUCACUGGAACCAAAUUUAUAUCUAAUAAAAAGCUGUUACUCCGGAAAAAAUGCCACUCUCCUCCCCACUCAGCUCCAAACACAGUGUGAUUGUAAUGAACACCUAUCCUGAUGAGGAAUGCAGGCUGCAUCUUGGAGAAAAUUCAAAUAGAGGUCCAUUUGAAAAUGGAAGAUAUGUAGUUACCAAGGAAACUCGCUGUGAGUCAACAAACUGGCUUAACUUCGAGCUUUGUGAGUUUAUUCCAUACAGAAUUAACUUGCUAUUCAUUUUUACCUACUCUCCUAAAAUG
rnacentral:lncRNA from 1 species